rnacentral:rRNA from 1 species
GACGAACGCUGGCGGCGUGCUUAACACAUGCAAGUCGAACGGAAAGGCCCUGCUUUUGUGGGGUGCUCGAGUGGCGAACGGGUGAGUAACACGUGAGUAACCUGCCCUUGACUUUGGGAUAACUUCAGGAAACUGGGGCUAAUCCCGGAUAGGAGCUCCUGCUGCAUGGUGGGGGUUGGAAAGUUUCGGCGGUUGGGGAUGGACUCGCGGCUUAUCAGCUUGUUGGUGGGGUAGUGGCUUACCAAGGCUUUGACGGGUAGCCGGCCUGAGAGGGUGACCGGCCACAUUGGGACUGAGAUACGGCCCAGACUCCUACGGGAGGCAGCAGUGGGGAAUAUUGCACAAUGGGCGGAAGCCUGAUGCAGCAACGCCGCGUGCGGGAUGACGGCCUUCGGGUUGUAAACCGCUUUCGCCUGUGACGAAGCGUGAGUGACGGUAAUGGGUAAAGAAGCACCGGCUAACUACGUG